UACGUAGGGUGCAAGCGUUGUCCGGAAUUAUUGGGCGUAAAGAGCUCGUAGGCGGUUUGUCGCGUCUGCUGUGAAAACUCGGGGCUAAACUCCGGGCCUGCAGUGGGUACGGGCAGACUAGAGUGCGGUAGGGGAGACUGGAAUUCCUGGUGUAGCGGUGAAAUGCGCAGAUAUCAGGAGGAACACCGGUGGCGAAGGCGGGUCUCUGGGCCGUAACUGACGCUGAGGAGCGAAAGCGUGGGGAGCGAACAGG
rnacentral:rRNA from 1 species